GGAGUCAAGAUGUAACCGCCAUAGGGAUAAGAAGCCCGGAAACUUCUCCGCAUGCCCAAAGGAUGUGGCCACUUCUACAAGUUCACUGGCAAGGCAAGAUGCCACUAUGGAUAGCAGCUCCGUCUGGAUACUCAGCAGUAAAGAUUCUUAGAGCCCACAUGAAUGCUCCUCAUGGAAAGCCAGGGCCCGGAACCAUCAUGCGCUACAUCUGAACUCUUAUCUCUGCUUCUCCUUCUUGGGGCCAUCUGAGAAGUGUGGCCAGGCCAGAAGCUGAAGCAUGCCCUUCACAACAGCGGCACAUCUGGGUGAUGAGUGGAGUGUGUGAGCUGGGACACAGGCCUGGAGUCACAGGUGGAUGCUGGCUAUCCGUCCUGACUGGGAGUCUCCUGGGGCCAUCCUGGCUGACUGGUAUUGGAGAUGUACCUGCCAUUCUGCAUAGUGACCGCAUGUGGAAAGGGCUUUGUGACUAGCAUAGCUCUUCUCAGGGUUACCUUAGAGUGAUUUGGGAUGAGCAAGGAAUGCCAUCCCCAGGGACAAGAGGGUAGGGAAACUGCCUGUUGUUUUGUUUGUUGCAUUUCUACCACCUGGAGCCGUCCUAGAGGCAAGCCAGAUACGAUGCAGUUGAAUGAAUGAGAUGAGUCCUCCACCUGUUUUGUGUCCUGUGCCCCAAGCAGUGGAAAGUCCUGUGAUACCAAGAUUCCUCACUGUAUUAGUCAGGGUUCUCUGAGAAACAGAACUUACAAAAUGAAUCUAUCUAUCUAUCUAUCUAUCUAUCUAUCUAUCUAUCUUUCUUUCUUUCUUUCUUUCUCUGCCUCAUGACUGUGGCUACUGCAGUGUGACCGCUGACUCCCAUCUUCUGCCACCAUGCCUUCCCUGCCAUAAUAGGCCGUCCCUUCAAACUGUAGCAAAAUACACCUGUUUUCCCUCAGGUUGCUGUUGUCCAAGCAACAGGAAGAGUAAUUAAUAAACCAAGGAGCCAAGUAUGUAAA